rnacentral:lncRNA from 1 species
UCACGGUUUAGAAGGCACAGUUAGACUUGCGUGCGUUUUCAAAAUAGACAAAGAUUAUGACACGUUGCAUUUACUCCUAGCAGCUAAUUAGUACUCCAUUAUACUACUUCUAUAUGCAUGCGUAAUGUGAAUGCUAUUUUUUAACUCAUUUCACAGCCAAUCAAUAACCACCUAGGUCCUACAGAAUUUGCAUGCACGCCUUCUAAACCGCGACCGAGGGAGUAUUUGGAUCCAAGCAUGGGUGAGGCUAGCAAGUUUUAGUCUCAUUACUUUUAUUAAUGAUCUCAUGAAUCUUUAGCUACAAUGCAUGUGUGGACCGAAUUAAUGAGCGGAUCACCUACAUAUUAACACAUGCAUGUGGCAUUUGUGCGUUGUCCUUGUAACAUUGAUGUCACAUGGGCGCCUCGAUCGGGAACGUAGCUGAUAUUCAAUGUUCAUAUUAAUCGCUACUUCCACCGUUCAUAAAAGAAUAGCCAUUCAUCAUGUUUGGUUUCAGGUUUCCACUCUUCUCUCAAACAAACAGAUUAUAACACAACACGCAUACUCUAGUGUAUACCAAAAAAAUUCAAAUCUCGAUAAUUUCCAGUAAUAUUUCUAAUAAAUCUACUGAGAAAUAGGAGUUCAUUUGCUUCGAAUAUAGAGAUGUAUUUUCAUCUUGGAAUCCAUGCCUAGGGGUCGGAGGCACCAGGAAUUCAACAAGAUCAUGAAAGGUCCGUGCGCUAGCUAUGCGCAAAAGAUCACCACCCACAUGUUCUCAUCAUGGAAAUUGGAUACUAGCAAUUCGUGGUGAAAUGCUAAACGGCUGCAUAUCAACACCAGUCGCUCUUGCUCUAUAUGUGGUUGCAAUGCAUCUUUACCUGACUACAUGCAAGGCAACCAUCUAACCUUUGGUAAUAAUGCUUGGCUGGUCGGCUGAUACACUUUGUUCGUGGUCAGCUACUGUGUCGCGGACAGAGAGAAAGUGACCGUUGCUGACUCGCCGGAAUACAACUAUUCAACCAAACCAUAAUUUAGUCAUUACAUUUGUUGCCGUUCUGCCAAAUGCUUGCCAGGCAAGACUAACAAGGUACACUGUGAAGAUAGAUUUCUUUGCCGGAAUUUUCAUGGCACGCCAAGCGCGAUCCGGAUCUGAAGAUUCUACUACCAAACUUUCCUAGCCAAUGCAUGAUGACUGUGUGGCCAUGUACACGAUGUUCACUGCUCUCGUUCAUGCCUUAUUGUGUUCUUCACAGGAUUAUUUUAGUUCUUUGAAUAAUCAAUCAGUUCGUUGGAAAACAAUUCGUCCAUUAAUAUUUUGGUCAUCAGUUGUGGAAUGCUAGAGCCACAAAAUCUAGAGUCUACACUUUGUCCAUCAAUUACCGAAAGAGGGCUCCCCCGCUUUAUAUGUGGUCCGUUUCCAUGCACCACCUCCC